UGAUCAUGCAGAAAGGAGAGAGAAAUGUACAAGAGAAGUUUGAAAACAUUUCUGGAUCACCACCAAGUAAUGCAGUGACUCCUCCACUCACACUUGUGUUAAUUGGGAACAAAAAAUCCAUUGAGAUUGGAUCAAAAAAUAUCUUACUGGACCAUGACCAGGAGAUACACGAGAAAGAGUUUUCAUCAAGACUCUAUGACCUAUUGGGUCGUCAAAUCUCUGUAAUUAACCUGCUUGGGCUUCCAAGUAUUGACACGAUUCCAGAGAUUCCAGAGUUUCCAGAAGAUUGUAUCUUUAUCUUGCUGGUAUCAAAUGACCAGCAAAAAAACCAGUAUUCUUCUGGAUUGCAGUGGUUAGAAAAAACACUGGGAAAGGAUCACAGCUCUUAUGUGAUGACAGUUGUAACUCAUGACUCAGAAGAAAUUUGUGAAAAUGAACUUCAGAAACUGAAGGCAACAAGUGUUUUUUCUGAAAAAAGAUACCAUACAUGUACAAGAAGUAUGACGGAUGGAAACGAAAUAAUAGCUCUUUUGGAAAAAAUAGAUGACAUGGUCUCUGAAAAUAGUCGGGUGACUGAAGGAAAACAAGUCAAUCCAGAGGAAACAUUAAAGACAGUUGAAGAGAUGGUGACUGAUGAGGAAUUUGAGGAUGCUCCUGAGUACAUCAAAGAUGACAACUGUACACACAGACAGACAGAAGUCUCUCCUGAACAAUGUCAACCAACAGAC